rnacentral:rRNA from 1 species
CAACCGGGAUGCCUUAGUAACGGCGAGUGAAGCGGCAAAAGCUCAAAUUUGAAAUCUGGCGUCUUCGACGUCCGAGUUGUAAUUUGAAGAAGGCAACUUUGUAGCUGGUCCUUGUCUAUGUUCCUUGGAACAGGACGUCAUAGAGGGUGAGAAUCCCGUGUGGCGAGGAUCCCAGUUAUUUGUAAAGUGCUUUCGACGAGUCGAGUUGUUUGGGAAUGCAGCUCUAAGUGGGUGGUAAAUUCCAUCUAAAGCUAAAUAUUGGCGAGAGACCGAUAGCGAACAAGUACAGUGAUGGAAAGAUGAAAAGAACUUUGAAAAGAGAGUGAAAAAGUACGUGAAAUUGUUGAAAGGGAAGGGCAUUUGAUCAGACAUGGCGUUUGCUUCGGCUUUCGCUGGGCCAGCAUCAGUUUUAGCGGUUGGAUAAAUCCUCGGGAAUGUGGCUCUGCUUCGGUAGAGUGUUAUAGCCCGUGGGAAUACAGCCAGCUGGGACUGAGGAUUGCGACUUUUGUCAAGGAUGCUGGCGUAAUGGUUAAAUGCCGCCCGUCUUGAAACACGGACCAAGGAGUCUAACGUCUAUGCGAGUGUUUGGGUGUAAAACCCGUACGCGUAAUGAAAGUGAA